GACGAACGCUGGCGGCGUGCUUAACACAUGCAAGUCGAGCGGUAAGGCCCUUUCGGGGGUACACGAGCGGCGAACGGGUGAGUAACACGUGGGUGACCUGCCCUCAGCUCUGGGAUAAGCCUGGGAAACUGGGUCUAAUACCGGAUAUGACCCCAUGACGCAUGUCGUGGGGUGGAAAGCCUUGUGCGGCUGAGGAUGGGCCCGCGGCCUAUCAGCUUGUUGGUGGGGUGAUGGCCUACCAAGGCGACGACGGGUAGCCGGCCUGAGAGGGCGACCGGCCACACUGGGACUGAGACACGGCCCAGACUCCUACGGGAGGCAGCAGUGGGGAAUCUUGCGCAAUGGGCGAAAGCCUGACGCAGCGACGCCGCGUGA
rnacentral:rRNA from 1 species